UGUCAAAUGGAUUAAAACUUGAUCUUUUCUAUCUUCUGUUUUUAGACUCUUCUAGGUCGAGCUCUCCCUUUAACAAAGACUCAGAGUCUCUCCCAGCAGGAUGUCCUGGAGACGUAUACGCUUCAGGUAAAGGUGUUGCUAGAUGGUUUCUAUGCUACUAGGUCAGUUGCUAAGAGGUUGCUAGGUGGUUACCAUGCUACUGGAUCAGUCGUUUGCUGGAUACUAUGCCACAGGGUAAGCUGCUAAAGGUGUUGCAAGGUGGUUGCUGGGGUGUUGCUAUAUGUUAGCUGUUAGUUGCUAAGGUGUUGCUCUUUUAUAGGUGCAGGCUAGUCCUUAAAGAUUUAGGCCUAACCUAUACCUGUAAAACAGAAACACCGUAUCAACCACCAGUAUAUCGGCAAGACACAAAGCAAAACUUCAUCUUUCUAUCUUCUGUUUUUAGACUUUUCUAGGUCGAGCUCUCCCACUAACAAAGACUCAGAGUCUCUCCCAGCAGGAUGUUCUGGAGAGGGAACUGGAGAUGUAUAUAUUUUAGAUAAAGACUCUUCUAGAUCAAGCUCUCCUUCUAUCAAAGACUCAGAGUCUCUCCCAGCUGGAGUGGGAACUGGGGAUGGAUAUGCUUCAGGUAAGAUCUGUAAGGAGAUCAGCUCCAGUAGGUCUGAGAGCAGCAGUGUGGAGGUCAGAUGCAGACCUCAGGUCAGAUAUAAGACCAGCGCUCAGCUGAUUAAGAAGAAGCUGGACCAGAUCAAAGCUGAGCUGCAGAAACUUUCAGAGCAGCACCUGCGUCUGCGUCCAGAACGGAAGGCGUAUCAUCCUUUUGUGUGGAACAGCCUGAGUCCGUACAGAGACACGGCCCAGAUCGACUAUCUGCUCGCCGGGGCUUCUGACCCCCGCGCCCCUGAUGGAGGACCCUUAAUGAGGUCAGGAAGCGCCCGCCUGUAGAUCUGACCCGACCUGUCAGUCUGUGCCGGUGUGAAAAAUGACUCGCAUGUAUGAUUUUCACUUUAAUAAGCAUAAAGUUGGAGCGUAGCAUGGUUAAUGACUUCGUUUUAUGGGAAUCAGCCCACAGAACUGCUCUAUACUCCACCCACAGAAAUGACUAUAUUAUAUUACACUCUUCUGGCACCAUGCUCCCACUGCCCUGCUAAAAUUCACUCCAUAGUGUUGCUUAUUCUUGCAGUGAGAACAGCAAACAUGAAAUCCUCUUUAAAUUAAGUUUAAGUAUCUGAAAUUUAUUUUUAUACAUUGCUCUCAGGAUUUUAUAAAAACAUUUGACUGAUUUUUAAUUAAGUAAUUGGAUCUACUGAACAUUUCUCCUUCCAUUUUUUAGGUAUUCUAGCUUAUUUUAAGCAUUAUUUCUUGAGAAAACUUUAGUUAUCAUCAUUUCCUCAAUUAAUCAAAAUGAUGUGUCAAUAGAAUUAAAU
rnacentral:lncRNA from 1 species